rnacentral:rRNA from 1 species
CCAACACGUGGAUUCGCCUUACCUACGCGGCGAGUGAAGCGGCAAUAGCUCAAAUUUGAAAUCUGGCACUUUCAGUGUCCGAGUUGUAAUUUGAAGAAGGUAUCUUUGGGUCUGGCUCUUGUCUAUGUUUCUUGGAACAGAACGUCACAGAGGGUGAGAAUCCCGUGCGAUGAGAUGUCCCAGACCUAUGUAAAGUUCCUUCGAAGAGUCGAGUUGUUUGGGAAUGCAGCUCUAAGUGGGUGGUAAAUUCCAUCUAAAGCUAAAUAUUGGCGAGAGACCGAUAGCGAACAAGUACAGUGAUGGAAAGAUGAAAAGAACUUUGAAAAGAGAGUGAAAAAGUACGUGAAAUUGUUGAAAGGGAAGGGCUUGAGAUCAGACUUGGUAUUUUGUAUGUUACUCUCUCGGGGGUGGCCUCUACAGUUUACCGGGCCAGCAUCAGUUUGAGCGGUAGGAUAAGUGCAAAGAAAUGUGGCACUGCUUCGGUAGUGUGUUAUAGUCUUUGUCGAUACUGCCAGCUUAGACUGAGGACUGCGGCUUCGGCCUAGGAUGUUGGCAUAAUGAUCUUAAGUCGCCCGUCUUGAAACACGGACCUCCUGUGUGAAUGGAUCCCCCUAA